AUGGCUUCCCGGCAUCCUCAACCGCAUCCACUCAUCCAUCAUCACCGAAUCUCACCUCCUCCACCAAGCAAACCAAAGGAAGCGAAGCGAAGCAAGCAUGUGCCCGGGCCUCCGCAACGCCAUGGCCUCGCCCUCCGCCCGCGCCGCGCACGACCACCCCUCCUCCUCCGCAACGUCAACCCCUCCGCCGCAUCCAUGGCAUCGCCGUCGCCCUCCUCGACAACCUCGUCGCCGCCGCGCUCCUCCUCCAGGCCGGCGCUCACGGCGUCGCUCAGCUCGCGGGAGCUGGACUUCGACGCCGACAGCCAGUACGCGCGCAGGAUGAUGAUGGCCAGGGCCAGCUCACCGCCGGACAACUACUCGCCCGACCUCGUCGCCGCCUACGUGCAGGCGCUCUCCUCCCUGCAGCACCAGCAGCAGCACCAGCAACAGCAGCAGAGCAGCGCGCGCGGCAGCACCAAGCCGCCCAUGGGGAUGGGGGGGCUGAGCGCCCGCGCCGCCGCCUUCACCAACCGGAGCCAGACCUUCGUGCACCGCUCUCCGUCCCCGGCUCCGUCUCUGGCUCCGGCGCGGUCGUUCAAGUCCCCGGCGCCGUCGUCCAUGCUGGCGGACUGGGGGUCGCCGGACGGGAAGCUGGACUGGGGCGUGCAGGGCGCGGAGCUGCGCAAGUCCACGUCUUUCGGGGUCAGAAGCAGCAGCAGGACGCAUGAUGCGACGAGGCAGGAGGACAUGUACUCGUCGUGGAUGAACGACGGCGGCAGCGACAUGCUGGCGGCGCGGUGGUCGGACCUGGAGCAGAUGGUCGCCUAG
rnacentral:rRNA from 1 species